UGGGGAAUAUUGCACAAUGGGCGCAAGCCUGAUGCAGCCAUGCCGCGUGUAUGAAGAAGGCCUUCGGGUUGUAAAGUACUUUCAGUCGGGAGGAAGGUGGUAAGGUUAAUAACCUUAUCAAUUGACGUUACCGACAGAAGAAGCACCGGCUAACUCCGUGCCAGCAGCCGCGGUAAUACGGAGGGUGCAAGCGUUAAUCGGAAUUACUGGGCGUAAAGCGCACGCAGGCGGUUGAUUGAGUCAGAUGUGAAAUCCCCGGGCUUAACCCGGGAAUUGCAUCUGAUACUGGUCAGCUAGAGUCUUGUAGAGGGGGGUAGAAUUCCAUGUGUAGCGGUGAAAUGCGUAGAGAUGUGGAGGUAUACCGGUGGCGAAGGCGGCCCCCUGGACAAAGACUGACGCUCAGGUGCGAAAGCGUGGGGAGCAAACAGG
rnacentral:rRNA from 1 species